rnacentral:lncRNA from 1 species
AAGUUUUUGUGUUUUGGUCUAUUUUCUUAAACUAUAAGCAAUAGGUCAACUAUAUUUGUUGUAUGGAAGCAUUGUUAGCUGUACAUGUCUGCCUGGCAUAUGGUUCAACUGACCUUGACCUCAUUUUCAUGAUUCAUGUUAAGUUUAUGUGACAGUCGUAAUAAAGCUUUAUAUUUAGGAGUAUCAACAUAAUAUCAAUGAUUAGUAAAGAAGGCGAGACAUUUCAGUGUGUGCACUCUUGUUAGAUUAACUGUU